rnacentral:rRNA from 1 species
UACGUAGGGGCUAGCGUUAUCCGGAAUUACUGGGCGUAAAGGGUGCGUAGGUGGUUUCUUAAGUCAGAGGUGAAAGGCUACGGCUCAACCGUAGUAAGCCUUUGAAACUGGGAAACUUGAGUGCAGGAGAGGAGAGUGGAAUUCCUAGUGUAGCGGUGAAAUGCGUAGAUAUUAGGAGGAACACCAGUUGCGAAGGCGAUUUGCUGGACUGCAACUGACGUUGAGAUGCGAAAGCUAGGGGAGCAAACGGGAUUAGAUACCCGGGUAGUCCCUGAGCGGGCU